rnacentral:snRNA from 1 species
AACCCUUUAUCUCAAUGG